AACGAACGCUGGCGGCAUGCCUAACACAUGCAAGUCGAACGAGACCUUCGGGUCUAGUGGCGCACGGGUGCGUAACGCGUGGGAAUCUGCCCUUGGGUUCGGAAUAACAGCGAGAAAUUGCUGCUAAUACCGGAUGAUGACGUAAGUCCAAAGAUUUAUCGCCCAAGGAUGAGCCCGCGUAGGAUUAGCUAGUUGGUGAGGUAAAGGCUCACCAAGGCGACGAUCCUUAGCUGGUCUGAGAGGAUGAUCAGCCACACUGGGACUGAGACACGGCCCAGACUCCUACGGGAGGCAGCAGUGGGGAAUAUUGGACAAUGGGCGAAAGCCUGAUCAGCAAUGCCGCGUGAGUGAUGAAGGCCUUAGGGUUGUAAAGCUCUUUACCCGGGAUGAUAAUGACAGUACCGGGAGAAUAAGCUCCGGCUAAACUCCCGUGGCCAGCAGCCGCGGUAA
rnacentral:rRNA from 1 species